GAUGAACGCUGGCGGCGUGCCUAAUACAUGCAAGUCGAGCGAACAGACGAGGAGCUUGCUCCUCUGACGUUAGCGGCGGACGGGUGAGUAACACGUGGAUAACCUACCUAUAAGACUGGGAUAACUUCGGGAAACCGGAGCUAAUACCGGAUAAUAUAUUGAACCGCAUGGUUCAAUAGUGAAAGACGGUUUUGCUGUCACUUAUAGAUGGAUCCGCGCCGCAUUAGCUAGUUGGUAAGGUAACGGCUUACCAAGGCAACGAUGCGUAGCCGACCUGAGAGGGUGAUCGGCCACACUGGAACUGAGACACGGUCCAGACUCCUACGGGAGGCAGCAGUAGGGAAUCUUCCGCAAAGGGCGAAAGCCUGACGGAGCAACGCCGCGUGAGUGAUGAAGGUCUUCGGAUCGUAAAACUCUGUUAUUAGGGAAGAACAAAUGUGUAAGUAACUAUGCACGUCUUGACGGUACCUAAUCAGAAAGCCACGGCUAACUACGU
rnacentral:rRNA from 1 species